rnacentral:misc_RNA from 1 species
UGUACAAAGUGAACGUUUUCCAUACGUUUUGGAAGUCGAAGAAGAAGCUGGCAAGUUGAAUUUUUAUCGCGGCGUUGAGUGAUUUUUUCAGGCGAAAAACAUGAUAAAAAUGGCAGAAAACAUAAGCCACGACCAUGACUAUUGUGUAUCGAAUGUGCAGGACGAAAAAGAUAUCGAUAUUGUGGUGGAAAAUAUUUUAAAUUCGUCUUCUACAAAAUCCAUGGAGGAAGAAAUCAAAGAUGGUGAGUCGCUUCGCCUUUCGCCUGCCUACAGCUGUGACAGUGGUAUCGAUUCUUUUGCCAACGAUUUGGUCCAAAAUUUUGGCGGAGAAGGUGAUGAUCUUUUGAAUUUUUUGUUUGACGAUGAUUUUGGACUUGACACACUGCCAAAGGAAAGGAUAGACUUCACACAAAGUUCAAUCGAUAACUCGGUAAAAAAUAUGGACACCAAACCUACAAUGGACGUCAAGAAAUCAAAAACUGCAGCUGCUAAAAAGACGAUAGCGGCCAGUAUUGAUGAUUUUGAACGAAGCAAGAAAAAUGCGGAGAAUGCUAGAGAAAAUCGCAGAAAGAAGAAGCUCUAUGUGGAAGGACUUGAAAUGGAAGUCGGCCAACUUAAAAAUAAAAACAAUGUUCUGGUAGAAGAGUCCAACAAAUUGGAGAAGAAAGUUGGUGAUCUACAAAGCGAAGUUGAUUACCUGAAAAGUAUUCUGGCGAAUGAAAGCAUGUUAUCGAGGUUAAUCAAAAGUGUCUCUGUGAUGCCUGGAGUUUCAUUGUCUACUUCUUUCUGUUCAUCUAGGAAUCCCUCAUUAAGCGAUAACAAUGUGGUAUGUGAAAAGGAAAAUGUGGUUUCCACACGUUCCACAUCAAGAAAACGGGCUGGCGAUACCCCGCCUGCUACUAGCACCAAAAGAAGCCGAAAUCAGGUUGCCAGUUCAUCCGGAGGUGUUUGUCUUCAUGUUAAGCAAAGCAAGGUUUCUCUAGAGUUUUGUCGCCAUUGUAGCAAAAUGGCACAAGAUUGAGUGUAAAAAUGUUUUAAAAAAAGGAAAAUUUUCAGUGCUGCAUUCACUUUACAGUCUCCAAAGAUCAAGAUUUUAAAUUGUGGGUAUUUAUACCUGAUUGUAUAUAGUCAGAACGUCCCAGGGAAAGUUUAUGAAGUUGUUGGUAAUUUCACAGCAUUGUACAUACAACAAGCAUGGAAUGGUGUUACAUGCAUUUACGCGAAGCGUUCAUUGAGGAAAAAUUUACAAAAAAAUUCAAAACCAGGAAUUAAAAAUAUCUACAAAAAGAAUUUGAUGGUUUUUGUUGAAACAACAUAAUUUGUAAUGUAGUUUUUAGCUUUUCAAAACUAUAUGCACAAGUUAGAUAAAUCCAUAAAAAUUGUAUAAAAAGAAAAAAUGAUAAAAAACAAUGUCUAUGACUCUAUAUCCAAUCUUUUGUAAAUUCAAAAUGUCACCACUCGAAAGAAUAUUUUUUCUGUUACAGGUCACCAAAGAAAUAAUUCUGAAUUAUUGAGAAAGAUUAAAUCCUUAUAAAUGCAUUCCUAUUUUCCUGGGAUGUUAUUGGUUGACAUCUAACAGAUGUGGCAAAAAUGAACUGUCUGUAAUGUGUGGUUUGUGUGUAAGGUAGUAUAACAAAAGGGAGUAUUUGAAUCUUGGGUUAAAAGUGUUAAUCUCUAAUAUUAAAUAUGGCCAAAUGAUACAGGACAGUGGAAAAUAUUUACAGUACUUCAUUGUUUCAAGUAGCUUCCACGGUAGAAAUAUUUAUUUAAAACUGAAAUAUUGUAAAUACUUCUAAGUGUGUAUCAUUCAGCCAUUUUUUAUAAUUUUGAGUGUAAUCCUAAAAAGCAUGAAGAAAGAAUAAAGAGUGUGUUACAAAAAUUGAAUCAAUUGUUUGCAAUUCUUACUCAGUCCUGGUAGAAUUAUUUAGUAACAAUUACUUAUCUUCUGCAUGUAAUGUUAGAGAAAAUGUAGUUUUCUAUCAUGUUCUGGUUUUAUUUGAAUAACCUGUGUUGCCUAUUAUGCUACUGGCUUUAUUCAAAAUGCUUUCUUCACUUUUGCAUUACUAUUUUUUUUAAAUAUUGUGUACUGUUUCCAUAUCUAGUACAAUUCUGCUCUGUUAUGCUUCUAAAUGUGUAUAUAUUAGAUUUUCCUGAAAAACUCCAUGCAUUUGAAUCAUACAGUUAAAACUGGAGAUAUUGAAAUGAAAAUUGAAAUGUUUUGAAAAAUUAGUAAGAAUCAAGGAUAGGUGUUUUUGGAGGGACAUGGUCAUAGAUGACUAUAUACAGGUUGUGGCAAAAAUUAUAGUGAGGUGUUCUCUGGUUGUGUACAUAUGCAAGCUAUGCUAUGCCAGAUAUAUUGUGUGGGAACAUAUUCCAUCCGAUCAGUGUUGCGUUUGAGUUGUAUCAUACUUCCGGUGACUGGUGGUGUCUAAUAAAAUUAGUACUAAUUAAGUUUCGGGAUGCAAAAUAUUUGGUCAUUACGAAUUCAAGAUAUGUUUAGAAAAAGCAUUAUGUAAUCUCAAAUUAGUUUCCAGUUUGCUUGGCAGAUAUUCGUGGUAGUUUGUUACAUUUUCUGCCCAAUCAUGAAGGCACAUUCAUUUUGUUUUGUGGUCAUAAUGUCUGGUUCUUCCAGCUACCACGCAUGCUCCGUGCUAAAAGCAAAGAUAUCAAUGACAAGUGAUCGAUUUAAUUAGAAAGAAUUAGAAUGUUUUCAUGCAUUCUUUGUCGUGAAGUUCCUGGGGCUUGGUAACCGUAAAAUUACAACGAAACUA